GACGAACGCUGGCGGCCUGCUUAACACAUGCAAGUCGAACGGAAAGGCCCUGCUUUUGUGGGGUGCUCGAGUGGCGAACGGGUGAGUAACACGUGAGUAACCUGCCCUUGACUUUGGGAUAACUUCAGGAAACUGGGGCUAAUACCGGAUAGGAGCUCCUGCUGCAUGGUGGGGGUUGGAAAGUUUCGGCGGUUGGGGAUGGACUCGCGGCUUAUCAGCUUGUUGGUGGGGUAGUGGCUUACCAAGGCUUUGACGGGUAGCCGGCCUGAGAGGGUGACCGGCCACAUUGGGACUGAGAUACGGCCCAGACUCCUACGGGAGGCAGCAGUGGGGAAUAUUGCACAAUGGGCGGAAGCCUGAUGCAGCAACGCCGCGUGCGGGAUGACGGCCUUCGGGUUGUAAACCGCUUUCGCCUGUGACGAAGCGUGAGUGGCGGUAAUGGGUAAAGAAGCACCGGCUAACUACGUG
rnacentral:rRNA from 1 species